rnacentral:rRNA from 1 species
AGACGUCACCUUCGGGUGGCUAGUAAAGCGGCGAACGGGUGAGUAACACGUGGGGAAUCUGCCCUCGAGUUGGGAAUAACACUCCUAACGGGGUGCUAAUACCGAAUAACACGACCGGGUCGCAUGGCCUGGUCGUCAAAGCUGGCCUCUGCUUGCAAGCUGGCGCUUGAGGAUGAUCCCGCGUCCCAUUAGCUAGUUGGUGAGGUAACGGCCCACCAAGGCUACGAUGGGCAGCUGGUCUGAGAGGAUGGUCAGCCACACUGGGACUGAGACACGGCCCAGACUCCUACGGGAGGCAGCAGUCGAGAGGCUUCGGCAAUGGGCGCAAGCCUGACCGAGCGACGCCGCGUGAGGGAUGAAGGCCGUAAGGUCGUAAACCUCUGUCGGGGGGGAAGAACCGCCGGGUGCUAAUACCACCACGGUCUGACGUUACCCCCGAAGGAAGCUCCGGCUAACUCCGUGCCAGCAGCCGCGGUAACACGGGGGGAGCAAACGUUGUUCGGAAUUACUGGGCGUAAAGGGCGCGCAGGCGGCCCUGCAAGUGGGAUGUGAAAUGCUCUGGCUCAACCAGGGAACUGCAUCUCAGACUGCAGGGCUUGAGGACGGGAGAGGAGACGGGAAUUCUCGGUGUAGCGGUGAAAUGCACUGAUAUCGGGAAGAACACCAGUGGCGAAGGCGCGUCUCUGGCCCGUUCCUGACGCUCAGGCGCGAAAGCUGGGGGAGCAAACAGGAUUAGAGACCCUGGUAGUCCCAGCUGUAAACGGUGGGCACUAGGU